rnacentral:misc_RNA from 1 species
UCCGGUUUGUCACCGGCAGUCUCCCUAGAGUGCCCUUGCGUAGCAACAUGGAACGGGGGUUGCGCUCGUUGCGGGACUUAACCCAACAUCUCACGACACGAGCUGACGACAGCCAUGCACCACCUGUGAAGGUGUCCCGAAGGAAGACCGUGUUUCCACGAUUGUCACCUACAUGUCAAACCCAGGUAAGGUUCUUCGCGUUGCGUCGAAUUAAACCACAUGCUCCGCUGCUUGUGCGGGUCCCCGUCAAUUCCUUUGAGUUUUAGCCUUGCGGCCGUACUCCCCAGGCGGGGCACUUAGUGCGUUAGCUGCGGCACGGAAGGAGUCGAUGACCUCCCACACCUAGCGCCCAUCGUUUACGGCGUGGACUAC